CACUACAUGAAAAACAAAACGUUAGGAACAGUUGCAUGGAACUCUACCGCUUUGAUGUGUCAUUCCUCUGGAUGUGACUUAACGUUGAAAAUGAUCAGAGAAAAACCUAUUAUGUUUACGUCAACAAUAUUUCUUGAACCAGUGAGUUUUGAUGUAUAUGAUAAAGUAGACAUACGCAUGCCGGCGUUUAUGUAUGGAACAGAACUUUCCACAGUGGGGCAUCAGUGUGUUAUACCAGGAUUUAGUUAUAAUAAAUUCUACGAGAUCUGGGGAUGUCCUAAAACUGUAAUGGAAGUAGCUAAUUUCGGUCAUUGUGAUAUAUUAGAUACAGUACCAUGGACUGGAUGUAAAGACAUACAUUUUUGCACAAUUACACCAAAUGUUACUAAACUGCUUGAAUACAAGGAAUUUGUACAAGGUGCAGCUAGCAGUUUUCUAGUUAGUUCCCUGCAAGGCAGAGCAGAUGCGAUAAAGUACAUAACACAAAAACCUCUUAUACCAUUACAUUUACUAGAAUUGAGAAGUGAUCUUAACUGCACAAAGAAUUAAACAGAAGUUUGCCUAGAACAAUGACUUGCCGAUGAAUAUCAAAUUCUAAAUACAAUGAUUAUUUUUCUUGCAGAUUAAACAACUGUUUUUUUUUAUUUGUUAUAUUUUAUGCUCAAUGCAAUAUCAGUUCAUC